rnacentral:RNase_P_RNA from 1 species
UCUACAGGUGAGUGAUCGCCUGAUUCGAUCUUUAAAAAAGACUACAGGGCAAUGCAUAUAUUUGUAUUGCCUUCAGGAGGAAAGUCCGAGCACUAAAGAAGCCCCGCACAUAUAAAAUAUGUGCGCCGACGAUAACUCCUAACGGGAGUGGCCGCAAAACCUAACAAGAUUGCGGUACGGAAAGUGCCACAGAGACAAUUAAAGCUUUGCCUAAAAGUCCGCUCAACGCUGACUCCCAUGACAAGGCCAAAGGUGAAAAGCCCCACAAAGUGGGGAUCGCCGGCCGAAUAUGCCGGCAUUGGUAAACCCUAUUGAGUGCAAGGUGGAAUGGAAAAAUGCGAAUCGCAUUAGCGCUUCUUAUGCCGCAUUUUUACCACCGCUCGAGCAUUAUUGCAAAAUAAUGCCUAGAUAGAUGAUCACAUCCGGCCAAACUUGCAUAUGCAACACUUGCCUGGAAACAAAACUCGGCUUAUGAUCCUGUAGAGCAU